UGAGUAGGCGGCUACUUAAGUUUGAGGUUUAAACACAGUGCUCAACGCUGUGGCGCUUCAAAAACUAGGUAGCUAGAGUUAGAUAGAGGCAAGUGGAAUUCCAUGUGUAGCGGUAAAAUGCGUAAAUAUAUGGAGGAACACCAGUGGCGAAGGCGGCUUGCUGGGUCUAUACUGACGCUGAGGCACGAAAGCGUGGGGAGCAAACC
rnacentral:rRNA from 1 species